CAAUAGCGUAUAUUAAAGUUGUUGCAGUUAAAAAGCUCGUAGUUGGAUUUCUGGUGGGAGCGAUCGGUCCGCCCCGCAAGGGGUGUGUACUAGCGUCGUCUCCGGCCAUCCUUGUGGGAACUGCUCUGUCCUUAGUUGGAUGGGGUUUGGGAACACAUCGUUUACUGUGAAAAAUUAGAGUGUUUAAAGCAGGCUUAGGCCGUUGAAUACAUUAGCAUGGAAUAAUAAGAUAAGACUUGGGUCAUUAUUUUGUUGGUUUGCGGAUCGAGGUAAUGAUUAAUAGGGAUAGUUGGGGGCAUUUUUAUUCCAUUGUCAGAGGUGAAAUUCUUGGAUUAACGGAAGAAAAACUACUGCGAAAGCAUCUGCCAAGGAUGUUUUCAUUGAUCAAGAACGAAAGUUAGGGGAUCGAAGACGAUCAGAUACCAU
rnacentral:rRNA from 1 species